GUGUCAGCCGCCGCGGUAACACGGGGGGAGCGAACGUUGUUCGGAAUCACUGGGCGUAAAGGGCGUGUAGGCGGUUCGGUAAGUGGAAUGUGAAAUCCCCCGGCUUACCCGGGGAACUGCAUCCCAUACUGCUGGACUUGAGUGCGGGAGAGGAUGGAGGAAUUCCUGGUGUAGCGGUGAAAUGCGUAGAUAUCAGGAGGAACACCUGUGGCGAAGGCGUCCAUCUGGCCCGUUACUGACGCUGAGGCGCGAAAGCUAGGGGAGCAAACGGGAUUAGAAACCCGCGUAGUCC
rnacentral:rRNA from 1 species